CAGCUUACCUGGCGGUGGACAAUCGGAGGUCAGGAUGGCUGUUCUCCUAGGACAAGGCUUUCCCAUUGCACUCCGGGUGUGCUGAUGCCUGCGAUGUCACCCAAUGCAGAAUACUCGACUGCAACAUUUAUAGUAGUGGGGGACUAUUUUUGAGCGGCACGAU